rnacentral:rRNA from 1 species
UAGUCCACGCCGUAAACGAUGGAUACUAGGUGUCCGGGAUAUUAACCUCCUGGGUACUACAGUUAACGCGUUAAGUAUCCCGCCUGGGGAGUACGGUCGCAAGGCUAAAACUCAAAGGAAUUGACGGGGGCCCGCACAAGCGGUGGAGUAUGUGGUUUAAUUCGAAGCAACGCGCAGAACCUUACCUACCCUUAACAUUUCACGACGUAUACAGAGAUGUAUAUUUCUCUUCGGAGACGUGAGGAUAGGUGCUGCAUGGCUGUCGUCAGCUCGUGUCGUAAGAUGUCUGGUUAAGUCCAAUAACGAGCGCAACCCUUAUCCUUAGUUACCAGCAUUAAGUUGGGGACUCUAGGGAGACUGCCGGUGUUAAACCGGAGGAAGGCGGGGAUGACGUCAAGUCAGCAUGCCCUUAAACCCUGGGCUACACACGUGCUACAAUGGACGAGACAAUGAGACGCCAAUCUGCGAAGAAUAGCUAAUCUAUAAACUCGUUCAAGUUCGGAUUGUAGGCUGCAACUCGCCUGCA